CCAGAGAGCCACUGAUCUUUAUAAUUUUUAAAAAAGGAGUACAUUGGAGAAGAUUUGAAAUUAGUAAAUAUUUAUAGUUACAUAUAGGUGUAAAAGGUUUCUUCUGAACUUUACCAACUACUAUCAAGUUCAAGCUGGAUCAUUAAUUCAUUCGAGCGACUAUCUCCACAAUUUCUGCUGUGAAAUGUAUAAAUGAUGAUCCAAACAGAUAAUAUAAAUGAGCUGAACGAAUGGUGGUAUUUUUGCCCAUGUCGCAUGUAUGCUUUUGCAGUAUCGGUAGGUGCAGACCUACAGUAUUUUGUGUGGAGCCGUAGAAAAUGAGUAAUAAUUAAAUUACUAAAUUAACGAGAAAUUGAAAUAAUUGUCAUGAUGGGAAACAAACUUUUGAAAUUUCGAGGACUAUGGUGAUUCUGUUUCCAUAUGUUAAUAAAUAAACAACAAAAGCUGAAAAGCACUACAGGUGAGGCAUUUUUCAAAAUUUUAAUUAAACACUUGUACUGUACCAUACAUUCAUUUAUUGAAAUAUACUAUAAUUUAUUACUAUUAUAUAAUAUUUCAACUCGAUUACUACUUGUAUAUAAUGCACAUAUCAAUGGCCUGGCCCUGGGGGUACACCCCCGGGACAUUGCAAAAACAUGAUUCUAAUGCAUUAAUUCCCCCUCCCUCCCCCGGGAAAUGUGUAAGUCAAACUGCCCUCCCCCUGGGCUUACAAUAAAGUAGUUCAUAAUAUAAAUAGCAUACAAACAAUUAAAAAUUAUUAUACAAACUGGGGUAUCACAAUGGCACUCAUGUAUUCCAUAUUUAUUUAUUUAUUCAAAUUUUAGCAAGACCACUACAAAAUAUCAUAAAUAAUAUGUUGCCGAUCGAUAUUUUUCUGUGAGCCUGUGAUUUUGAGUUCACACCAAUUAUGUCCAACCUCGGAAUUUUGAAAAAAAUUUUCAUUUUUUUUUCCAACCUCGGAAUUUUGAAAAAAUUUUCAUUUUUUUUCCAACCUCGGAAUUGUGAAAAGUACUUCAUUUAUAAAAUUCAAAUUGUCACGUCAAAGUCCCCUACUUCCCCUCCCCCCAUCGUCCUAUUAUUGCGAAGUUUGUAAGGGAGUGGUCAUUAUUUAUGGGAGGGGGCGUUGGGAAAUGGGAGGGGGGGGACAAAGUUUUACCUUUAUAAAUAGAGGGGAUCAAAAAAGUUUUAACACAGAGAAGGGGGGGGGUCAUAAAAGUUUUUGAACUUAAAUACCAUGUCUAGAGUUCUGAUUUCUAUAAUCACAAAUAGCAAAAAAGAAGACUCUGAAAAUGCUAUUUCCAACAAAUCUAGAUACUCAAAAUUUCCAUGCUCUGGGGUGGACAUCUACAAAAAGGGACCAUACUAUAUUGAGUGCGGAGAGAUGACAGAUGGUUGUUGGUGACAAAAAGUUUGGUGCGGUAUUGUAUGUACUAGUAGGGGGGUCCGGGGAUUCUCCCCCAGAAAAUGUUUUGUAUUUUUCCACCCCUAGAACUGAAAUGUAAGCAUUUUCUGAAACAGAUUUUUGGAUAUACAACGUUACAUUGUGUGUUGAUAGACCGAAUCUGAUCAGUUAAGUGUAUUUGCAUGGUAUGUUUAUGUAAAUACCACAACUGGGUCACUCAGGGGGUAGCAAGCUUGUUAAACUUAGUGUGCCCGACUCCCAUGAUUGCGAGGCACUACCAUGGUUGGUGCCCAGACAAGUUCUUAAAAAAAACGCUGUG